rnacentral:rRNA from 1 species
UACGAAGGGGGCUAGCGUUGCUCGGAAUGACUGGGCGUAAAGGGCGCGUAGGCGGACUGCACAGUCAGGCGUGAAAUUCCUGGGCUUAACCUGGGGACUGCGUCUGAGACGUGUGAUCUAGAGUGAGGAAGAGGGUCGUGGAAUUUCCAGUGUAGAGGUGAAAUUCGUAGAGAUUGGAUAGAACACCGGUGGCGAAGGCGGCGACCUGGUCCUUGACUGACGCUGAGGCGCGAAAGCGUGUGGAGCAAACAGG